GACGAACGCUGGCGGCGUGCUUAACACAUGCAAGUCGAACGGAAAGGCCCUGCUUUUGUGGGGUGCUCGAGUGGCGAACGGGUGAGUAACACGUGAGUAACCUGCCCUUGACUUUGGGAUAACUUCAGGAAACUGGGGCUAAUACCGGAUAGGAGCUCCUGCUGCAUGGUGGGGGUUGGAAAGUUUCGGCGGUUGGGGAUGGACUCGCGGCUUAUCAGCUUGUUGGUGGGGUAGUGGCUUACCAAGGCUUUGACGGGUAGCCGGCCUGAGAGGGUGACCGGCCACAUUGGGACUGAGAUACGGCCCAGACUCGUACGGGAGGCAGCAGUGGAGAGUAUUGCACAAUGGGCGGAAGCCUGAUGCAGCAACGCCGCGUGCGGGAUGACGGCCUUCGGGUUGUAAACCGCUUUCGCCUGUGACGAAGCGUGAGUGACGGUAAUGGGUAAAGAAGCACCGGCUAACUACGUG
rnacentral:rRNA from 1 species